GUGAGGAAUAUUGGACAAUGGGCGCAAGCCUGAUCCAGCCAUGCCGCGUGCAGGAAGACGCAUCUAUGGUGUGUAAACUGCUUUUGUACGGGAAGAAACACUCCCUCGUGAGGGAGCUUGACGGUACCGUAAGAAUAAGGAUCGGCUAACUCCGUGCCAGCAGCCGCGGUAAUACGGAGGAUCCAAGCGUUAUCCGGAAUCAUUGGGUUUAAAGGGUCCGUAGGCGGUUUAAUAAGUCAGUGGUGAAAGCCCAUCGCUCAACGAUGGAACGGCAAUUGAUACUGUUAGACUUGAAUUACAAGGAAGUAACUAGAAUAUGUAGUGUAGCGGUGAAAUGCUUAGAUAUUACAUGGAAUACCAAUUGCGAAGGCAGGUUACUACUUGUGGAUUGACGCUGAUGGACGAAAGCGUGGGGAGCGAACAGGAUUAGAAACCCCGGUAGUCC
rnacentral:rRNA from 1 species